rnacentral:sRNA from 1 species
UCCUGGAGCGCAUAAGUGGUCGUCCGGU